GACGAACGCUGGCGGCGUGCUUAACACGUGCAAGUCGAACGAUGAAGCCUAGCUUGCUAGGUGGAUUAGUGGCGAACGGGUGAGUAAUACGUGAGUAACCUACCUUUAACUCUGGGAUAAGCCUGGGAAACUGGGUCUAAUACCGGAUACGACCAAUCUCCGCAUGGGGUGUUGGUGGGAAGCGUUAUGUAGUGGUUAUAGAUGGGCUCACGGCCUAUCAGCUUGUUGGUGAGGUAACGGCUCACCAAGGCGACGACGGGUAGCCGGCCUGAGAGGGUGACCGGCCACCAUGGUACUGAGACACGGCCCAGACUCCUACGGGAGGCAGCAGUGGGGAAUAUUGCACAAUGGGCGCAAGCCUGAUGCAGAGACGCCGCGUGAGGGAUGACGGCCUUCUGGUUGUAAACCUCUGUUAGCAGGGAAGAAGAGAAAUUGACGGUACCUGCAGAGAAAGCGCCGGCUAACUACGUG
rnacentral:rRNA from 1 species